rnacentral:rRNA from 1 species
GACGUAGGGGGCCAGCGUUGCUCGGAAUUACUGGGCGUAAAGGGUUCGUAGGCGGUGUGGCAAGUCGGGAGUGAAAUCUCUGGGCUUAACUCAGAGGCUGCUUCCGAAACUGCCGUGCUAGAGUGCGGGAGAGGCGAGUGGAAUUGCAGGUGUAGCGGUGAAAUGCGUAGAUAUCUGCAGGAACACCCGUGGCGAAGGCGGCUCGCUGGACCGCAACUGACGCUGAGGAACGAAAGCGUGGGUAGCAAACAGG